rnacentral:snoRNA from 1 species
CCCCUAGAUGCAUUGCAGUUGUGGCUGCUAUGUCAAGUGAGUGCAGAGAGGCUAUUUCUGUUCUCAGUGUUCUGACCUAUGAACAACUAUCUGAAUAAUUAGUAGCUUAACACU